UACGAAGGGGGCUAGCGUUGCUCGGAAUGACUGGGCGUAAAGGGUGCGUAGGCGGCUUCCUAAGUUUGAUGUGAAAUCCUGGGGCUCAACCCUGGAACUGCAUUGAAUACUGGGAGGCUAGAGUACUGGAGAGGAAACUGGAAUUUACGGUGUAGCAGUGAAAUGCGUAGAGAUCGUAAGGAAGACCAGUGGCGAAGGCGAGUUUCUGGACAGUUACUGACGCUGAGGCACGAAGGCCAGGGGAGCAAACGGG
rnacentral:rRNA from 1 species